UACUGUAGUUUGCAAUGAAUUGUGGGAGCAUGCUAAAUGCAAAUUUUACAGUUAUGUCUGCAAUACUGUAUUUUUGAAAUAGGCUAAUAUGUAAAUGCUACAGGACAACAUGUAAUGACACUUAUUAUUUUAUUUUAUGUAUUUAUUUAAAAAGUCAGCUGUGGCACUAGUUUGGAAAUAAAAGCUUUGGCACUUUACAAUAACUGCAAUAAAUGCAGCCUAUUAAAUGAAUUAUAAACAUUCAUGUAGAUUCUGAUAAUGUACAUAUCUUUGUCAAAAAUGUUUGAUAAGAAACACAUUUAGACAACAUGUGUGCGUAGCGCAGUACGUGUGAUGUCACGACGUCAUCAGCAAAUUUGCGCCCGGUGCACAUGCGCAUUGCGAGUUUGCGCAGACAGGUGUCUACGGUCGGAGUGGAAUGAAGAAGUUGCAUCUGAUAAUUCUUCCAUUGUGUAGCAGCAACUGCAGCUGACAUGGAAUGAGGAUUAUCGGAUUCACCUCUCACUGAUCAUCCAAGGUGAAUUGAUGACCUCAAGCAAAUGGAUGUUGUCAUCUGAAGAGAAGGUUGUCCUGGGCCCAUGUUUAGAGGCAUUUGGGGCAUAUCUGACACAUAUCACAAUCAAGCUGCAUGCACACUUGAGUUUAUUCAGAGAGAAGUUGUGGGCAUCAGUCCGGAAACUGGAUAAAAAAUUUGCUGCUGGAAUGUGAGACAAAUAAAGGCAUGGAAUGAACCCAAAUGUAUGAACACUGCUACGAAAACUAAUGGACUUUGAAUGGCUUGUUAGUUAAGUCCAAUGGAAUUGAAGAAGAGACUCUGACAAGAUUUUCAAGUUUGUGUUUAAUUUAAAAGUUUAUCUUCAUAGAUAAGCAAUUUAAAGGUAGGCACAGUUAAAACUAUUUCUUGUGUGUUUGUUUAAACUGUAAAUUUAUGACUGAAGUUUGGUCACUAUGUAGUAAUGUGUUCCUUUGUGGUUAAUUAAAUGCUGCAGUGCUUAGUGGUAUUCGUUGUUGUAUUUCCAAGGCUAAAGCCUUAUUUUGUGAUCUGCAUUGUAUUGGAGAGUUUUGGAAACUAAUACUUAUUAUCUUAAUGCAUUGGAAAGUUUUGGACUAUUGAACAAUAAAUGCAUUUGGCUACAUCUGUGAUUUUCUGUUAUUUUAAGUGUUUUAGUUUACAUUACAUUAAAUGAUUUAUCACAGCAGUUAAAAAAAAUUACA